rnacentral:ncRNA from 2 species
AAUUUACUACUCAGGUGAGGUUCGAUCGGGUUUUUAAUAUUUGUUUAAAAACUCUCGAGUAACAAGGAAUCGUGUGCAAAUCACGAGCUGACGCGCAACUGUAAGUGGUACCUGCUUUUGUAAUCAUUUCUAAGGCCACUGUUUGAAAAAAUGGGAAGGCACCACAAAAGCACCACAAGCCAGGAGACUUACCUUAACUGAUUUUUGAUA